AGUAAAGAAAAGGGAAAAGAAAAGGGAAAACGCCUUUCACUUCCAAUGUCUCCUUCAUUCUCCGCUAAUUUCAAAACCCCCCACUUCUUUCUUCUAAACUCUAAAUUCUGAUUCCAAAUUCCCAAUGAACUUGUCUCGCUUUCUGUCUCUCUCUCUCUCAAAUGGUCAAAUCUAAUUCCACCUCCUCCAUUUUCCACCCAAUACGGCCAACGAAUAUGCGGCAACCACCUUCAUCUUUGAGAUACAGAGGAAAUCUGGAAGAGUAGAUUGAUUGAUUGCUAAUUGGUUUUGACGCCUGAAGCUAGGGUUUUAACGCGAGGAAGAUGGACCUCUUCCAUUUUUAUUCUCAGCAGUUGAAGUCGAUUCCCAAUUGCAGUGUUUCUUCCUUGUUGUUGUAUCUCUCUUUGUUGCUCUUCUUCUUUGUCUCUUUCCAAUUCUAAAGACUCGAUCACAUUCUCAAAGGAAUAUGUUUCAGGUCACUUUGCCAAAAGUGAAUAAAUUGGUUUUCACUGGCUGGAUUUGCUUCUCCAUGUAAUUUUUAUCAUCGGUGAACUAAUUUUAGCUUUGAGAGAACUUACCCAACAAUUUUGCUAGCUAUUCUGGUUCAAAAGCAAGGGGAGAUAAUAGGAGUUUACUCUCGUUUUAAAGAGUCCAGCCCAUAUUGCAGAUGGACAAUGGAAUCGCCUGAGCAACUCAAUACAGUCGUUGUCUUGAAACAACGAGAUAGCAGCCGUUGGCAGAAGAUUAAUACAUGCAAUGGCUUCUAGUUGGCUAUAUCCCAAAUAAGCUUAUAAACCCAGGAUGCAGACUGAAGGCUGGACUGGCUGAACUCUGGGAAUCAUUUGCAUCUGUGUCACUAGAAAGUGCUGGCUGCUGCAUUGCAAUGUUCGGUGAACUAGCAGAAUUCGUGUGCAUUCUAGUCGGUAAGCCACCAAGUGAAGUCUGUGGAGGAUCGUUAGAUGAUGAUGCCGUUGGAGACUGGAAAGGAGAAGGAUUGAGUUGCGGUUGUAGCAAGGUACUCAAGGAACACUAGGAGAUGGCAUCUGAACACCAUUUCCUCCGUAAGGACCAUUUGCGCUACUCUUCUGGUUUUUACUGUCUCGAGUUCAUUGAGUUUUGAUGACGCAGCCCAGUUAUAUAUGGCACUAGUAGAGGAAGUUGCAGGAGCCGAAUUCAGUGGAUUAUUUACAUUUGCCAUGCCAUUUCUGGAAGGAAGUUGCAAUUAUUACGAAAAAUGUUUCAAUGUGGCCUAGCCAUAUUGAAACGUGAUGACUUUUGCAAAAUUGGUUGAAAUUAGGAACUACUUGUGCCUUUUGGAAUUAGGUUAUGAUGAUGAAUUUGGAAAUUUGCAGUGAUUGUUUCCAUUUAGAUAGUGAAUUGAAUUACUUACUUGAAAGGGAAAUGUACUACAAGCAUGAAAAAUAAUUCAUAAAAUAUGCAAAAAGUGUAAUUCACUGCAGUGCAUCUGUUUCUUGAAGGAGACUAUUUAAUAUUUGUGACGCAAUUUUUGUGCCGCAUGAUUAUUUGCGGCACAAUUUUUGUGCCGCUUGCAUAUUUUGUGGCACUAAUAUGUGUCACUAAUUGAGCCGCAAAUGCUUGCGACACAUUUAAACAAAGUGUCGUUUUCUUUUGUAACGGCUACUUUUGAGGCACAAAGGAAUUGUGCCACAAAAGCGCCGCAAAUACUUUUUUGCGGCGCUUUUUGGGCUUUUUGUGGCACAUUCUUGGCGUCGCAACAAGCCAUAUUUCUUGUAAGGAUCAGCAGGGAGACUUCAAAAGGUGGUGGCUAAGAAUCUCAGAAGCAAGGCACAGGUCAGAGGGGAUGGAACACAUUGGAUUAACUGCAAACAUCCUGUGGCAGGUGUGGAAAGAAAAAAAUAAAAGAGAAUUCGAGAACACUACCCUUGUUCCUCCAUUCAAAUAUAUAGGGAAGGCACAUUCUGAAUGGUUAGAGCAGCUGCAGCUAGAGUACAAGGAGAAAGGAGAGAGCACAGAAGAAACAGUCCCUAGGCAAGAUGUACAGGAUCAGAAUUAUGUAAAUGAAGGAGAAGUGCUAAUGGAGAUGACUACAACCACGAAGCAAGGGCAGCUAUUUGCGGGAAUUGGAGUCACAGUUAAGAUUUUUGCAAGUAAUAUGAUGAUAGGGUGGGCACUGAAAGACAUUAGUUCCGGUAACAAACUCCUAGAUGAAGCUCUGGCACUGAAGUUGGUGUUGUGUAAAGCUGUACAACGAAAGUGGAGCAAACUUAAGCUGAGAUUUUGUAACAAGGAAUUGUGGAGACAAUUAAAACAUCAGAACCCAGCGGACAGCAAAAUGGCAACAGUACUUGAAGACAUCUCUCAGUUACAGAGAUUGUUUUGCAUGUGCUCUUUUGGUUUGUAUAGGGAAGAAAAUAUGAUAGUUAGUAAAAAAAUGAGUGCUGAUGCUUUAAGCAUUAUUGUGGAUGAGGAGCGACAGCUUCCUCAGUGUCUUUGAACACUAGUUGUAGAGUUUCGAUCGAGCCGUUGCUCGUACAUGUAAUUUUUUACCAUUAAAGCAAUGAAAUCAUGACAAAAAAAAAUGAAUGCCCUGAUUCAAAGGC